GAGUGCGUAAUAGCUCACUAGUCGAGUGACCCUGCGCCGAAAAUGUACCGGGGCUAAACAUAUUACCGAAGCUGUGGAGUACACCUUUAGGUGUAUUGGUAGGAGAGCGUUCUAAGGGCGUUGAAGGCAGAUCGUGAGGACUGCUGGAGCGCUUAGAAGUGAGAAUGCCGGUAUGAGUAGCGAAAGACAGGUGAGAAUCCUGUCCACCGAAUGACUAAGGUUUCCUGGGGAAGGCUCGUCCGCCCAGGGUUAGUC
rnacentral:rRNA from 1 species